GGGGUUGUAGCUCAGGGGUAGAGUACUUGCCUAGCACAUUUGAGGCACUGGGUUUGAUUCUCAACCCCA
rnacentral:tRNA from 1 species